rnacentral:rRNA from 1 species
GUCCAGACUCCUACGGGAGGCAGCAGUGGGGAAUAUUGCACAAUGGGCGAAAGCCUGAUGCAGCGACGCCGCGUGAGUGAAGAAGUAUUUCGGUAUGUAAAGCUCUAUCAGCAGGGAAGAAAAUGACGGUACCUGACUAAGAAGCCCCGGCUAACUACGUGCCAGCAGCCGCGGUAAUACGUAGGGGGCAAGCGUUAUCCGGAUUUACUGGGUGUAAAGGGAGCGUAGACGGCAGCGCAAGUCUGGAGUGAAAUGCCGGGGUCCAACCCCGGAACUGCUUUGGAAACUGUGCAGCUUGAGUGCGGGAGAGGUAAGUGGAAUUCCUAGUGUAGCGGUGAAAUGCGUAGAUAUUAGGAGGAACACCAGUGGCGAAGGCGGCUUACUGGACCGUAACUGACGUUGAGGCUCGAAAGCGUGGGGAGCAAACAGGAUUAGAUACCCUAGUA